rnacentral:rRNA from 1 species
UACGGGGGGGGUAAGCGUUGUUCGGAAUUACUGGGCGUAAAGGGCUCGUAGGCGGCCAACUAAGUCAUACGUGAAAUCCCUCAGCUUAACUGGGGAACUGCGUGUGAUACUGGAUGGCUUGGAUUUGGGAGAGGGAUGCGGAAUUCCAGGUGUAGCGGUGAAAUGCGUAGAUAUCUGGAGGAACACCGGUGGCGAAGGCGGCUUGCUGGGCCUUACCUGACGCUGAGGAGCGAAAGCGUGGGGAGCGAACAGG